rnacentral:rRNA from 1 species
UCCGUAGGUGAACCUGCGGAAGGAUCAUUAUUGAAUACGUUUGGUUCUGAUGCUGGCUCUUCACUGAGCAUGUGCUCGAUCCAUAACUAUUUAUCUUCUCUUGUGCACCUUUUGUAGUCUUUCAAAGAAGUGAUAACUCCUCGCAGCAAUGCGGUUUGGGGGACUUGGGCGUGAGCCCCUUCCCCUGCUUUUGCUUUUUCUGAAGGGCUAUGUAUUCAUAUACACUAUAAAGUUACAGAAUGUCUUUUAAAGAUUGUGCUAGUCGCAGUCAUUAAACCUAUACAACUUUCAGCAACGGAUCUCUUGGCUCUCCCAUCGAUGAAGAACGCAGCGAAAUGCGAUAAGUAAUGUGAAUUGCAGAAUUCAGUGAAUCAUCGAAUCUUUGAACGCACCUUGCGCCCUUUGGUAUUCCGAAGGGCAUGCCUGUUUGAGUGUCAUUAAAUUCUCAACCCAAAAAGCUUUUACUAGCUCUUUUGUGGCUUGGAUGUGGGGGUUUUUGCUGGCUUCCUUCAGUGGAUGGUCUGCUCCCCUUAAAUACAUUAGUGGGAUCUCUUGUGGACCGUCACUUGGUGUGAUAAUUAUCUAUGCCAGUUGACUUUGAAGCAAAACUUAUGGGAACCCGCUCAUAACCGUCUUCGGACAACUUAUUGACAUUUUGACAUCAAAUCAGGUAGGACUACCCGCUGAACUUAAGCAUAUC